AAUGAUUUUUCUUCACUGAAGACCUUUUUUUUCGGAGGGCCAGUCGCAUAAUGGACAACGUUUUACAGAUGGGUACGGUCUGAUUACUGAAUCCAAAGUCCAAAAAACAAAAUAAACUAAUGAAAAUGGAAUCCAUCACACACAGAGAGAGAGAGAGACCGUGGCUGCUGGCAAGAGGUGCUGCGAUGGCGCGACGGAGCGGACGAUUAUCAAAGGCUGGGCUGCUGGAAGGCAGAGAAAUUAGGGUAGGAAAAGUUCUCCAAAAC